rnacentral:rRNA from 1 species
GACGAACGCUGGCGGCGUGCCUAAUACAUGCAAGUAGAACGCUGAAGCGAGGAGCUUGCUCUUCUUGGAUGAGUUGCGAACGGGUGAGUAACGCGUAGGUAACCUGCCUUGUAGCGGGGGAUAACUAUUGGAAACGAUAGCUAAUACCGCAUAACAAUGGAUGACACAUGUCAUUUAUUUGAAAGGGGCAAUUGCUCCACUACAAGAUGGACCUGCGUUGUAUUAGCUAGUAGGUGAGGUAAUGACUCACCUAGGCGACGAUACAUAGCCGACCUGAGAGGGUGAUCGGCCACACUGGGACUGAGACACGGCCCAGACUCCUACGGGAGGCAGCAGUAGGGAAUCUUCGGCAAUGGGGGCAACCCUGACCGAGCAACGCCGCGUGAGUGAAGAAGGUUUUCGGAUCGUAAAGCUCUGUUGUAAGUCAAGAACGGGUGUGAGAGUGGAAAGUUCACACUGUGACGGUAGCUUACCAGAAAGGGACGGCUAACUACGUG